UUGAAGCUACUCACAAGAUAUAUGAUUAUUCCCAGAGCCAGAGGAAUGAAAUGAGGAACUAAUAUACUGAUAAAGGUGGUUGCAAGUGAUCUGUCCUGAGAGGCUCUCUGAUGCCCUGAGUCAUGUGUUGAUGAGGGCCAAUGCAUCUGCAUGCAGUUAUGCACAAGUGCUGCCAUGUCUGUGGUGUUACUAAGCCCAGCUGCACUGAGCAGCCUCCUCUGAAGCUGUUUCAAGUGUCUGGUUGCUUCAGCCCCAACUGUCUGGCUUGCAGCUGCAUCUGACCCUCCUGCUAUGGUCCCUUAACUUCUCCUUGCAGCUCAUCUUGUAACUUCUAGACUUUGCUUGUCUUGAUGACCCCAUUUUUAAGUAUUGCUGUUUUCAUUAUUUAGAUCAUCUCAACCUGUUAUUUUCUCAUUUCUGAACUCAAUAAAGUUUACAUGAUUUGGUUUAAUACUUUCCUCCACUAUUUUAGAAAUAGUAUGUAGACCACCUGACAUCACAGCAUAAACAUAUGAACUAAUGAAUAAAGCUCUCCACAUGCUUAUACCGAAGAAAAAGAGGUUAUGUUGUCACUCAUUUUCACAGAGGCUAGUCUAAAGCAAGAAGAAUGGAAUGUCGCUCCUGUAGAGAGCAUAAAUAUAAUUUGAUAACAUGCUGUAAAUUAAAUAUUGUAUUUCUUUCAAAAGAUGAGAGGACUCGAGUUUGGGCACUUGGAACAAAAUGAGCCCAGACGUCUGUUCUGUUUUCUGCCCAGUGUGUUCUGUUUUCUGUACUUGAGCUGGGGCACAUGUGGAAUUCUGCUAAAAUGAGAUUAUAAAUUAAUGGCCCUUCACACUUCAUUGCUUGAAUGAGCCAGAAGUUAUUUUCUUCUGGGUUUGAGUCCCAGGUGCAGCCCUUUCUGACUAACAAAUAUGAUUCUCUAAAAGGGAAGAAAGACCAGUGAUUUGAAACUACAACAACCUCUUCUCUGUGGUCUGAGUACAGACAUGUAAUAGAGAAAAGGAAAGCACAUCAACUGACAGGGUGGAGGAAAGGAACAUCCAGAAAUAUGUUAUUGGUGAAGAAGUGGUUUGUGAUUUGGGCAACAGCUUCCAUUUCUGGUCUUUGCUUCUGGCUUCAUGUAGAAACCUAAGCAGGUCAUUUGCAUAUGUGCCCCAAAGAGACGACCCAUUUAUUUGAUUUUUGGUACCCAAAUUGAGUUGCUGUGUGACUGAUAUUCCAUUGCUAUUUAGGCUGGUCUAGAGUACUAACAAAGGGAAAGAUAUCUAUGGCAUCAAGGGUGUUGGGAAGAUAAUUUGGGAUUUUCUCUGACAUCUUCAUACUUUAUCAGUUCUUUGGUGAUGUCCAGAUAAUACCAACUGGAAUUUAAUCUGUUUGAGAAUGGGACUAUUUUCAAUAAGAAGGGACUAAAUUGAUUUAUUUCAUUGGCAUUUCUUGAUGCAAUUUUCAAGAAAACAGCAAAGAUCCCUCCAACGCUGACAAUGUAUCUUAACCCUAAGGCCUUUCUCAAAAUUACAAUGGUAAUAGUUCAGUCUAAGAGUGUUAUGUGCAUAAAGAAAAUCUUUUGUUAUAUAUUCUUUCUGCUCAGCCCAGGGGCAGAAAUAUAGUACACAGAACCACAGGACUUAAACUCUGCCAGGUUUGUUCCCACUUUAACUGCACCUGCAGUACUGUAGCACAGUAACAGCUGAACUGCCUCCUCUGCUCUUUGAAAGUAGGAAGACCCCAGGAAAUAUCUGCAUGUCAGGAUUUGAUCAGAGAAUACAAACUUGUAUAUUUUGUG